rnacentral:rRNA from 1 species
UACGUAGGGUGCAAGCGUUGUCCGGAAUUAUUGGGCGUAAAGAGCUCGUAGGCGGUUUGUUGCGUCGGCUGUGAAAUCCCGAGGCUCAACCUCGGGUCUGCAGUCGAUACGAGCAAACUAGAGUGUUGCAGGGGAGACUGGAAUUCCUGGUGUAGCGGUGAAAUGCGCAGAUAUCAGGAGGAACACCGGUGGCGAAGGCGGUUCUCUGGGCAUGAUCUGACGCUGAGGAGCGAAAGUGUGGGGAGCGAACAGG